CCCAUUACCUUCGAUAAUAGAGUUCGAGGUCAGGCCACUGUCGGACCGACUCUACCCUGCUCAUCUACUUCGAUGGUGGUGGAAGCAACUUAGUGAGUUCUUCGAUGACAAAUGUACUUCUAGUGAGUUCUUCGAUGAUCAAUGUACUUCCGAUAGAGAAUAUCUAUCCCUUGGGGAUAAUCGGUAAGACUCGGACGGCAAGUGCUGAUG
rnacentral:lncRNA from 1 species